rnacentral:lncRNA from 1 species
GGUGUCCAGCUGAAAGUAAAUGUCAGAUUAGUCAACUAAAGACUGCUGAGUGCAUUUGUCAAAUUGGCUAUGUUUAUGAUGGCAAAUCAUGCAAUGAAAUCAAGCCUAAUGCUAUAGAUCCUACUGAACUAAAGAAUCCU